rnacentral:rRNA from 1 species
GGGGAAUAUUGCACAAUGGGGGGAACCCUGAUGCAGCGACGCCGCGUGGAGGAAGAAGGUCUUCGGAUUGUAAACUCCUGUCAUUCGGGACGAUAAUAACGGUACCGAAUGAGGAAGCCACGGCUAACUACGUGCCAGCAGCCGCGGUAAUACGUAGGUGGCGAGCGUUGUCCGGAAUUACUGGGCGUAAAGGGCGCGUAGGCGGUCUACUAAGUCAGAUGUGAAACCCCUAGGCUCAACCUGGGGCUUGCAUAUGAAACUGGUAGGCUAGAGUGUCGGAGAGGGAAGCGGAAUUCCUAGUGUAGCGGUGAAAUGCGUAGAUAUUAGGAGGAACACCAGUGGCGAAGGCGGCUUUCUGGACGAUAACUGACGCUGAGGCGCGAAAGCGUGGGGAGCAAAC